rnacentral:rRNA from 1 species
ACUGAGUUACCGCUCUACAACCCUUUGUGAACAUACCUUAACUGUUGCUUCGGCGGGCAGGAGGACAACCCCCCUCGGGGGGCGGUCCCCCUCCCGGCCGCGCCCUCACGGGCGUGGCGCCCGCCGGAGGAUACCAAAACUCUAUUUUAACGACGUUUCUUCUGAGUGGCACAAGCAAAUAAUUAAAACUUUUAACAACGGAUCUCUUGGUUCUGGCAUCGAUGAAGAACGCAGCGAAAUGCGAUAAGUAAUGUGAAUUGCAGAAUUCAGUGAAUCAUCGAAUCUUUGAACGCACAUUGCGCCCGCCAGCAUUCUGGCGGGCAUGCCUGUUCGAGCGUCAUUUCAACCCUCAAGCCCAGCUUGGUGUUGGGGCCCUACGGUCGACGUAGGCCCUUAAAGGUAGUGGCGGACCCUCCCGGAGCCUCCUUUGCGUAGUAACUUAACGUCUCGCACUGGGAUCCGGAGGGACUCUUGCCGUAAAACCCCCAAAACUUUUACAGGUUGACCUCGGAUCAGGUAGGAAUACCCG